UACGAAGGGGGCUAGCGUUGCUCGGAAUCACUGGGCGUAAAGCGCACGUAGGCGGAUCUUUAAGUCAGGGGUGAAAUCCUGGAGCUCAACUCCAGAACUGCCUUUGAUACUGGGGAUCUCGAGUCCGGAAGAGGUGAGUGGAACUCCGAGUGUAGAGGUGAAAUUCGUAGAUAUUCGGAAGAACACCAGUGGCGAAGGCGGCUCACUGGUCCGGUACUGACGCUGAGGUGCGAAAGCGUGGGGAGCAAACA
rnacentral:rRNA from 1 species